rnacentral:rRNA from 1 species
GACGAACGCUGGCGGCGUGCCUAAUACAUGCAAGUAGAACGCACAGUUUAUACCGUAGCUUGCUGCACCAUAAACUGUGAGUUGCGAACGGGUGAGUAACGCGUAGGUAACCUGCCUGGUAGCGGGGGAUAACUAUUGGAAACGAUAGCUAAUACCGCAUAAUAUUAAUUAUUGCAUGAUAAUUGAUUGAAAGAUGCAAUUGCAUCACUACCAGAUGGACCUGCGUUGUAUUAGCUAGUAGGUGAGGUAACGGCUCACCUAGGCGACGAUACAUAGCCGACCUGAGAGGGUGAUCGGCCACACUGGGACUGAGACACGGCCCAGACUCCUACGGGAGGCAGCAGUAGGGAAUCUUCGGCAAUGGACGAAAGUCUGACCGAGCAACGCCGCGUGAGUGAAGAAGGUUUUCGGAUCGUAAAGCUCUGUUGUAAGAGAAGAACGGGUGUGAGAGUGGAAAGUUCACACUGUGACGGUAUCUUACCAGAAAGGGACGGCUAACUACGUG